AUUGAACGCUAGCGGCAUGCUUUACACAUGCAAGUCGAACGAGUGGCGGGCGGGUGAGUUAUAUAUCGGCACGUUCCCAGUAGCGGGGGACAACUACUCGACAGUGAGGCUACUAACGCACUCUAUUGGAGCGGCCGAUAUAGGAUUGGCUGGUUGGUGGGGUAAAGGCGCACCAAGGCAACGAGCCGUACCUGGUUUGAGAGGACGACCAGCCACACUGGAACUGAGACACGGCCCAGACUCCUACGGGAGGCAGCAGUGGGGAAUUUUGGACAAUGGGGGAAAGCCUGAUCCAGCCAUCCCGCGUGUGUGAGAAGGCCUUCGGGUUGUAAAGUACUUUUGGCAGGGAAGCGUUAUCUGCAGAAUAAGCACCGGCUAACUACGUGCCAGCCGCCGCGGUAAUAC
rnacentral:rRNA from 1 species